rnacentral:antisense_RNA from 7 species
UUUCAUGGCGGCUGUGUGUGGGAGAUCUUCGGGUCUGCCGAGUCCUAACUCCUCGGUCUGCGAACCCGCACAUGGCUGCCACCCAA